CCAGCCCCAUUUUGUUGUUGGAAUAUUUUCCCCUGUUUCUACCUUGAUCGGAGCGUUUUUAAUAGAUUAAAAUUUAUGUUUCUUGAUUUUGGUUCAGUAGUGUACUUUAUUGCUUAGGAUUUUGCCUCUCGUAGUGAAGUUUUAACUCUAAGUGUAUGUCUUUCUUUUUUAAAUCUUUUUUAGUGAUCAUGAUGUGGUUUUUUUUUUUUUGUUUUAAUGGAGGCUAACAUGUCAGGAGAUUUUUGGUGGAAAAGGUUUUUUGAAUUGAAUUGCCAUUCUAUUUUGGAUUUUGAAGGUUUUGGUUUGAUAUGGCGGUGGUACUUCUUUUCUCUUUCAUAUCUGUUACGGUUCCCAAGUGGGGAAUUCUUCAAAAGACGGGAUUUUGCUUCAGAAAAAGGACGUUUAGAGAACGCAUGCAUAAAAGAUCGAGCGAGAAAAGGUUCUCAAAGAGUUUAGGCCUUCUGUUCUUUUUAUUUUCAUUCAUGUUCUGAAUUUAGGAACAUAGGGGUCGAUUUUAGGAAGCGAUUAGGUAUAAGGGUGUAUAUAAGUAAAUGUUUCCGCGUUCGGAGUGCCUGGUUAUGGAUUGAAGAAUCCAUUUUCUUUUGAUCUCUCUCAUUUUCUUCGAACUGGUUUGAAGCUGCAUCUAUCGAUUUGUGAGAAUGGGAUAGAUGGAUUAUGGGGAUAGAUGGCUCUGAUUUCGUAGGGAUGCCAGUUUUGGAACGUAUGCUUUACUUCGAUGGCCUUGAGGCUAGACUAAAGAUGUUUUGUGGCCACACAAGGACCAAUAGCAAUGUCGCAAAGGUUGCAGGUCGAAGAAGUCGCACUUUAUUCAAAAGAGCACCAGAUCAUAACAACUACCAGUUUACUCCAAAGGAAUGUGAAGUACCUGGACUUAUGCCAAGGAAUUCUGAGCAGAGGUGGAUUAUAUUCGCACUGUUUGCCCUUGAAGCUGAUGCAUACUGGAAACUGGCACCUUUUUUACCACCCUUGCGAGGGGCUGAUCAGAAAAACCAUGUGGGAUCUGGAGUUUCAUCAGACAUGGAUGGUCUUGAGUCUUUAUCGCCACCACCAGCUAUUAUUGUCCCGGUUGACCUGCCAAAAGAAAAGAAGAUCAAUUGGCUUGAACAUACAGAUUCUGCUAAGCCACUUCCAAUGUGCAGCUCUUCUGGAGGAGUUAUUCCCAAAGGGGACAAGACUGUGAAAAGAAGUUCAAGAAAGAGGGGGAAAAAGAAGGGAAAACAGUACAAAAAAGCCACAAGCGAAAAAGUAUCCGCUGGAUGUGAAAUUCAACAUGAACAAAGCAUAUGUGUUCCUUCUGUUUCUGAUACCACAACCAACAGUGACGUGGUUUGUUUGGGUGAGGGCAUGUCAGAAAAUAGUGUAUCUGAGAAGGCAACUUCCACUAGUUUGUCUAUUGAGGAUACUUCUGUGGAAAAGGAUGAUAGUGAUAACAAUCAUGAGUACGCAGACUGUUCAAGAACUUUAGUGUCAUGUACAUCUUACAGCAAUGAUAUGGUUGAGCCUGACCAAGUAUCAUCUUUGUCUCUGGUACGUGCUGGUGAGGAAUCUAACUGCAACAGUACUGCUUCUAUGAAUAAUGCAUUAAGCACUACACAAACACCAGAAAUAAUUCUUUCCACCUUUGAUGACGAUAAUAAAAAUGCCAAUCCAAAACAAAAUAGCAAUUUUUCUGACAAUCCUCCCAGCAUUUCCUUCGAUCCCUAUAAUACUUCAGUGCAAGAUUCAUAUCUAAAUGGUUGGAACAGUGAUAUCCGUGAAAACCGCAAUGAUGAUGGUGAAACUCUAUUAUCCAUCGAGGAUGAAAGUGGAUUUAAUUCUUCAGGAGGAGGAAUGAUUUCAGACUCCAGGAAUUCUGACACUUCAUGUCAGACCGCAACUGUAAAUUUAUAUGAUAUAAAUACUGAAAUGUUAAAUGAUGGUUGCAUUGGUAACUCUUGUUGGUCAAAGGAUGUUGUCAAUACUUGUAACAGUAUUGAAAGAGCUCCAUGCAGUAGCCAGGCCUAUAACAGCAAUGACUUCCAUCCCGUAAUAUCGGGAAAGAGAGGGAGGCGAGCUAGGAAAAUGACUGGUGGUGCAAAUCAGAAUGUGCCAAACAGAUUUCCUGGUGUCACAGGAAAAGAAAAUAACCAUUCAGUUUGGCAGAAGGUCCAAAAGAUUGACAUGGAGGCAUGCAUCUGUGAAACAGAGACUGUCAAUGCUGUAUCUCCUCAGGAUAACACUUCAUCAAAACAUUCCAACAUAAGGAUCAGAUUUGGUACAUGUGUGGGGCUGAAACAAAACCAGAGUGGAAAAACCUGCAAAAAUGCUUGUUCAGAUGAAGUGGUUAAAACAGAUUUGUGCAAUGUAACCUCUAAUAUUGUCAGUACAAGUGAAGUAGCAUCCGAAUUGAUAGAUGGAAACUCAAUGAAUAAUGUCCAAAAGAAAGCGAGUUCAGCCUUUAAACAGGCAAAUCACUAUUCUAGGAAGGGAUCUUAUGCAGCUAAAGUUAAUAUGAACAGGGUUUCUAAAAAUCAUGUUCCACAAAAUGAAGGAAUGCCAAUCUUGCCGCAGGUGAUUCAUGAAAAACACAUAAGUGGUGGAUUAAGAUCACCUUGUAGCAUUGAGUUCCAACAAAUUUUGGUUGCACCAGCUGACAAAAUUGACCAUUGUCGCCGAGAGUCACAGCAGAAGGCAGAGAAUUAUUUAGAGAAAGCAACAUCAUCAGGAAAUCGUUGUAGAACAGCCUGUGGUGUGAGUUUGCCAGCUACUUAUAAUGAUGGAGGUGCAUCAACAUCAGAUUCUUCAGAUCAAGUGUGCAUUGAAGGGACUUCUGAUAUCCAUAGUACUAGGUACUCAAAGGAAGAGUUUUGCCAUACAGACUCUGAAGAAAAUCAUUGCUUGAAAUUAGAAAUGGAAAGUUCACAAAAGGAAUGUAGCAAGCUAGAUAGUAGUACUGGAUCUGUAUUGCAGAAGUGGGUCCCUGUGGGAAGGAAAGAAUCAACGAUGUCCAAUAUGACCCAUUUAGAUAAUAUGAAUGUCUCUAUUGUGGAAGAUUUGUUUCCUGAUAAAUUGGAAUCAAGGAAUGUUAAAGCAGAGGUUUCAACUUCAAAUACUCAGUACUUCACUCCUUUAACUAGGGGUCAGUUUCCAUGCUCAAGUCCCAGAGCUGAAGAUAAAGAUUUUUCUUCUGGUGAAGCUGAUCAAGUAAAUAGCAGAUUAAGAAACCACCCUUAUGUGGCUGAAGAGUCAGGUGGUGUGAUUCCUGUUUCUAGUUGUCAAACUCAUGAGGUGCAAAAUGAAGGCUUUUCUAGAUUUGAGACUGAUCUGGAUAAGAUACUACUGGCUGUUCAUGAUGCCUACAAAUUUCAUAUGGCAGCAGGUGCUCACCAAGCCUCUGGCAGUCCGCUAGCUGAUAUUGAGAGAUUUCUUUAUUCUGCCUCUCCAGUUAUUGGUCAAACACAUUCCAUUGGAAGUCGCAGGACUUGCUCCAAAGAACAACUAAUUGGUGACUCAAUGUGUUUGCAUCAUAUUCCUAAUAUAUCUUUGAAAAGACUCUGGCAGUGGUAUGAAGAACCUGGGUGCUUUGGUUUGGAAGUAAAGGCACAAGAGUAUCACAACUCAAAAAGGUUGUGUAAUGGUUAUUCUGAAUUCAGUGCAUAUUUUGUACCUUAUCUUUCUGCUGUGCAAUUAUUUGGGAGAUCCAGGAAUACCAGACAUGACAGCGCCAAUGAAGUAGCAGCAAUAGGUUGUGAGGCAGAGAAGACAUUAGAAACUCCAUUAUCUAAUUUACGCUCCCUCCCAAUCUUCUCAAUGCUACUGCCACAACCUUUUAACGGAACAGAUAAGUGCUCAUCGGAUUCUUCUUCUUCUGCCAAAUAUGAAUGUUCCGAUCAGUUUUAUAGGAGCACACGUGUGGGUGAUGAGGAGCUCAUUUUUGAAUAUUUUGAAUCUGACCAACCUCCAUGGCGGCGUCCAUUAUUUGAAAAGAUAAAGGAGCUGAUUGGUGGUGACACAUUAUCUAAUUGCCGGGCAUUUGGAGAUCCACUGAUGCUGGAAAACAUCAACUUGCAUGAUCUUCACCCUGCUUCAUGGUAUUCUGUCGCAUGGUAUCCAAUAUAUCGUAUACCCGAUGGCAAUUUUCAUGCUGCAUUUUUAACUUAUCACUCUCUUGGCCAUUUUGUUCAUCGAAGUUUCUCCUCAAGUCCCUCUGACGGCCUUAGCUGCAUAGCUUCUCCAGUUGUUGGUUUGCUAAGUUACAAUGAUAAGUUCUUUGACAGUAUCAAUCCAUUGUCAAGUGGAUUCCAACAUCAGUUUGCAACUGGUGGGACAGAUCCAUUCCUUUAGAGAGAAUGCUGUCUGCCAGAAAGUUCAUGCAUUCAAUAUUCUUCAGAUUACUUCCACUUUGUUUCUUGACAUAGGGAGAGUGUUGGUUUAAACUGAAGAACUCGUAUUCGAAGGUCAUCAGGAACGAAGAAGCUCGAUUUUUCAAUCCUUCGGAAAUUUUGAAGGAGAGAUUGAGGUCACUCAAGCAAACUGCAACUGUAAUGGCAAGGGCCUCAGUUUCCAAGGGCAACCGAAGAUCUGUGAAUAGACAUCCGGAUUAUGAGUUCUUUGUAUCACAGAGUCGGUAGGGGGCAUUCAUUUCUUUUGAGCAAAAGGUUUCUUCACCUUAGUUCUUUCACUGGUCUGUGGUCCUUUUCUGUAACAAAUGUUAAGAGAGUAGAGCUAACUUGAAGGUUUUCAAUUUUUAUCCUGAGACAGUAAUCUAACCUGAAGGAAUGCAAGCUCUCUCUCUCUCUCUCUCUCUCUCUCUCUCUCUCGUGUACAUUAUCUGUGCAUGGAUUAUCUUCAUGAUUUUUCUGUUAUCGAAGCUUUAGUUGUAAUUCAUCUGCACUCUCUUCAGUGUAAUACAUGGAUUAUCUCUCUCUUUUUC